rnacentral:rRNA from 1 species
AUGUGGGAUCCUCUCGAACAGCUCGUGCUCGCUAUCAACUUCGAUGGCAGGGUCACCCGCUCCAUCGGCCCCCUCUCCGGCGGGAUGUACUACUCGGAUUUCAUCCCCUACGUCAACUCAUACACAGAGAUCUACAUCUGGGUACAACUACAGUUGCAAAAUCAUCCAGCCAAAUUUUGGGAGGAUGGCAUAAAAGAUUACAUAACCCAUGCUUUUGAAAUCAUGGUAUUCUAUUUAUGCUCCAUUCCGAAAUCUAUUGUGCACUGCCAAGUCCAUGAGGCGAAGCGCUCACUGCUCGACUAUUUCUUUACUGAACUGGGAGCAACAAAGGAGAGUUAUGUGCUGAUUUUUUUGAAGAAGCUGGAAGUCCAAGACAACGACUUGCUUUAUAUGUUUGUUGUAAUGCCGUAUUUUCUGGGAAUUUGGAUGUACUGUUGA